GAUGGCGACCGGCGCACGGGUGAGUAACGCGUAUCCAACUCCCCUAGUAGAGGAUAGCCGGCGAAAGUCGGAUUAAGUACUCUAUGUUGUAUUUUUGAGGACAUCUGACGAAUACCAAAGAUUCAUCGCUAAGGGAUGGGGAUGCGUCUGGAUUAGCUUGUUGGCGGGGUAACGGCCCACCAAGGCGACGAUCAGUAGGGGUUCUGAGAGGAAGGUCCCCCACAUUGGUACUGAGACACGGACCAAACUCCUACGGGAGGCAGCAGUGAGGAAUAUUGGUCAAUGGGCGAGAGCCUGAACCAGCCAAGUAGCGUGCAGGAAGAACCUGCCCUAUGGGUUGUAAACUGCUUUUAUCAGGGAAUAAAGUUCGGCACGUGUGCUGCUUUGCAGGUACCGCAUGAAUAAGGACCGGCUAAUUCCGUGCCAGCAGCGGC
rnacentral:rRNA from 1 species